rnacentral:rRNA from 1 species
GAGGUCCGACCUGCCCAGUGAUAUUAAUUCAACGGCCGCGGUAUUCUGACCGUGCUAAGGUAGCACAAUCACUUGUCUCUUAAAUGGGGACUAGUAUGAAAGGCCCCACGAGGGUCUAACUGUCUCCUUUUUUUAAUCUGUGAAACUAAUCUCCCCGUGAAGAAGCGGGGAUUAUUAUAUAAGACGAGAAGACCCUAUGGAGCUUUAGAUAAAACAAUAUAUUUCCCCCCCGUUCCCUGCUAUUUCAGAAAAUCAACUACCAAGGAAUUUUAUUGCUAGUCUUUGGUUGGGGCGGCCGCGGAGAAAAACUUAUCCUCCACGAUGAGUGGGAACUUCCCAUAAUAAAGAGCCACAGCUCAGUGUAUCAAAAAAUUGACAAUUGACCCAAUAUUUGAUCAACGAAACAAGUUACCCUAGGGAUAACAGCGCAAUCUACUUCAAGAGUACUUAUUGACGAGUGGGUUU